GACGAACUCUGGCGGCGUGCCUAAUACAUGCAAGUAGGACGAGUUGCGAACGGGUGAGUAACGCGUGGUAACCUACCUAUUAGAGGGGGAUAACUAUUGGAAACGAUAGCUAAUACCGCAUACCAUCGGAUGUGCCCAGAUGGGAUUAGCGAGUAGGUGGGGUAACGGCUCACCUAGGCGACGGUCCCUAGCUGGUCUGAGAGUAUGACCGGCAACACGGGAACUGAGACACGGUCCAGACGCCUAUGGGAGGCAGUAGUGGGGAAUAUGGCACAAUGGGCGCAAGCCUGAUGCAUCCAUGCCGCGUGUAUGAAGAAGGCCUUCGGGUUGUAAAGUACUUUCAGCGAGGAGGCGUUACUCGCAGAAGAAGCACCGGCUAACUACGUGCCAGCAGCCGCGGUAAUUC
rnacentral:rRNA from 1 species